rnacentral:rRNA from 1 species
AGUGAACGCUGGCGGUAGGCCUAACACAUGCCAGUCGAACGGCAGCACAGUAAGAGCUUGCUCUUGCGGGUGGCGAGUGGCGGACGGGUGAGGAAUACAUCGGAAUCUACUUUUUCGUGGGGGAUAACGUAGGGAGACUUACGCUAAUACCGCAUACGACCUACGGGUGAAAGCAGGGGAUCUUCGGACCUUGCGCGAUUGAAUGAGCCGAUGUCGGAUUAGCUAGUUGGCGGGGUAAAGGCCCACCAAGGCGACGAUCCGUAGCUGGUCUGAGAGGAUGAUCAGCCACACUGGAACUGAGACACGGUCCAGACUCCUACGGGAGGCAGCAGUGGGGAAUAUUGGACAAUGGGCGCAAGCCUGAUCCAGCCAUACCGCGUGGGUGAAGAAGGCCUUCGGGUUGUAAAGCCCUUUUGUUGGGAAAGAAAAGCAGCAGGUUAAUACCCCGCUGUUCUGACGGUACCCAAAGAAUAAGCACCGGCUAACUUCGUG